rnacentral:rRNA from 1 species
UACGUAGGUGACAAGCGUUGUCCGGAUUUACUGGGCGUAAAGAGCGCGCAGGCGGUCGAUCAAGUCGAGUGUGAAAGCCCCCGGCUCAACUGGGGAGGGUCAUUCGAUACUGAUCGACUCGAAGGCAGGAGAGGGUAGUGGAAUUCCCGGUGUAGUGGUGAAAUGCGUAGAUAUCGUGAGGAAGACCAGUGGCGAAGGCGGAUCUCUGGACAGUUCCUGACGCUGAGGCGCGAAGGCCAGGGGAGCAAACGGG